rnacentral:tRNA from 1 species
UAGACGCUACGGACUAAAAUCCGUUGGCUUUUUAGACCAUGAGGGUUCAAGUCCCUCUACCCCCA